rnacentral:rRNA from 1 species
CCCGCUCAGAAACUUAAAGGAAUUGACGGGGGCCCGCACAAGCGGUGGAGCAUGUGGUUUAAUUCGAUGAUACGCGAGGAACCUUACCUGGGCUCAAAUGUAUGUUGACGUAUUCUGAAAGGGAUACUUCUUCGGACAAUAUACAAGGUGCUGCAUGGUUGUCGUCAGCUCGUGCCGUGAGGUGUCGGGUUAAGUCCCAUAACGAGCGCAACCCCUAUCAUUAGUUGCCAUCAGGUCAAGCUGGGGACUCUAAUGAAACUGCCUACGCAAGUAGUGAGGAAGGUGGGGAUGACGUCAAAUCAGCACGGCCCUUACGUCCAGGGCUACACACGUGCUACAAUGGCCGGUACAAAGGGCAGCUACCUGGUGACAGGAUGCUAAUCUCAAAAGCCGGUCUCAGUUCGGAUCGGAGUCUGCAACCCGACUCCGUAGAAGCUGGAAUCGCUAGUAAUCGCGCAUCAGCCAUGGCGCAGUGAAUACGUUCCCGGGCCUU